rnacentral:rRNA from 1 species
CAGUAACGAAUCUUCCGCAAUGCACGAAAGUGUGACGGAGCGACGCCGCGUGUAGGAUGAAGUCCUUCGGGAUGUAAACUACUGUCAGGGGUAAGAAAGUUCUGAUCUACCCCAGAGGAAGAGGCGGCUAACUCUGUGCCAGCAGCCGCGGUAAUACAGAGGCCUCGAGCGUUAGGCGGAAUCACUGGGCUUAAAGCGUGUGUAGGUGGAUGCCUAAGUACCUUGUGAAAUCCCACGGCUUAACCGUGGAACUGCUUGGUAUACUGGGUGUCUUGAGCCACUCAGGGGCUACUGGAACAAACGGUGGAGCGGUGAAAUGCGUAGAUAUCGUUUGGAACGCCAAUGGUGAAAACAGGUAGCUGGGGGUGUGCUGACACUGAGACACGAAAGCCAGGGGAGCAAACGGGAUUAGA